AUCCUUCUGGGUUUAGUACAUAUGAUGAUUGGUCUAAUCACGAUUGUUUGUGAAAUGUGCUGCCUUCCUUUCUUGUUACGAAGUGCACAUUGACCGUCUGAUC